AGCGAACCGGGGGAACUGAAACAUCUAAGUACCCCGAGGAAAAGAAAUCAACCGAGAUUCCCCCAGUAGCGGCGAGCGAACGGGGAGCAGCCCAGAGUCUGAAUCAGCAUGUGUGGUAGUGGAACGGUCUGGAAAGUCCGGCGAUACAGGGUGAUAGCCCCGUACACAAAAGUGCAUGUGUUGUGAACUCGAAGAGUAGGGCGGGACACGUGGUAUCCUGUCUGAAUAUGGGGGGACCAUCCUCCAAGGCUAAAUACUCCUGACUGACCGAUAGUGAACCAGUACCGUGAGGGAAAGGCGAAAAGAACCCCGGCGAGGGGAGUGAAAAAGAACCUGAAACCGUGUACGUACAAGCAGUGGGAGCCUCUUUAUGGGGUGACUGCGUACCUUUUGUAUAAUGGGUCAGCGACUUAUAUUCUGUAGCAAGGUUAACCGAAUAGGGGAGCCGAAGGGAAACCGAGUCUUAACUGGGCGUUAAGUUGCAGGGUAUAGACCCGAAACCCGGUGAUCUAGCCAUGGGCAGGUUGAAGGUUGGGUAACACUAACUGGAGGACCGAACCGACUAAUGUUGAAAAAUUAGCGGAUGACUUGUGGCUGGGGGUGAAAGGCCAAUCAAACCGGGAGAUAGCUGGUUCUCCCCGAAAGCU
rnacentral:rRNA from 1 species